rnacentral:rRNA from 1 species
GGACUACAGGGGUUUCUAAUCCUGUUUGCUACCCACGCUUUCGCUCCUCAGUGUCAGUACCGGCCCAGAGCACCGCCUUCGCCGCUGGUGUUCCUCCUGAUAUCUGCGCAUUUCACCGCUACACCAGGAAUUCCAUGCUCCCCUACCGGACUCUAGCCAGAGCAGUAUCGGGUGGUGUCCCAGGUUGAGCCUGGGGAUUUAACAUCCGACUUACUCAGCCACCUACGAGCUCUUUACGCCCAAUAAAUCCGGACAACGCUUGCCCCCUACGUGUUACCGCGGCUGCUGGCAC